AACGCGUGGGAACGUGCCCUUCACUACGGAAUAGUCCCGGGAAACUGGGUUUAAUACCGUAUACGCCCCUCGGGGGAAAGAUUUAUCGGUGAAGGAUCGGCCCGCGUCUGAUUAGAUAGUUGGUGGGGUAAUGGCCUACCAAGUCUACGAUCAGUAGCUGGUUUGAGAGGAUGAUCAGCAACACUGGGACUGAGACACGGCCCAGACUCCUACGGGAGGCAGCAGUGGGGAAUCUUAGACAAUGGGCGCAAGCCUGACCUAGCCAUGCCGCGUGAGUGAUGAAGGCCUUAGGGUCGUAAAGCUCUUUCGUCUGUGAAUAUAAUGACGGUAGCAGGUAAAGAAACCCCGGCUAACUCCGUGCCAGCAGCCGCGGUAAUACGGAGGGGGUUAGCGUUGUUCGGAAUUACUGGGCGUAAGGCGCACGUAGGCGGACUAAUAAGUCAGAGGUGAAAUCCCAGGGCUCAACCUUGGAACUGCCUUUGAUACUGUUAGUCUUGAGUUCGAGAGAGGUGAGUGGAAUUCCGAGUGUAGAGGUGAAAUUCGUAGAUAUUCGCAGGAACACCAGUG
rnacentral:rRNA from 1 species